GGGGAUUGUAGUUCAAUUGGUUAGAGCACCGCCCUGUCAAGGCGGAAGUUGCGGGUUC
rnacentral:tRNA from 1 species